GUCCAGACUCCUACGGGAGGCAGCAGUGAGGAAUAUUGGUCAAUGGCCGCAGGGCUGAACCAGCCAAGUCGCGUGAGGGAUGACGGUCCUAUGGAUUGUAAACCUCUUUUGUCAGGGAGCAAAGGGCGCCACGUGUGGCGUUUUGCGAGUACCUGAAGAAAAAGCAUCGGCUAACUCCGUGCCAGCAGCCGCGGUAAUACGUAGGGUGCGAGCGUUAAUCGGAAUUACUGGGCGUAAAGGGUGUGCAGGCGGCUGAGUAAGACAGAUGUGAAAUCCCCGGGCUUAACCUGGGAACCGCAUAUGUGACUGCUUGGCUAGAGUGCGUCAGAGGGAGGUGGAAUUCCACGUGUAGCAGUGAAAUGCGUAGAUAUGUGGAAGAACACCGAUGGCGAAGGCAGCCUCCUGGGACGCAACUGACGCUCAUACACGAAAGCGUGGGGAGCAAACAGGAUUAGAUACCCCCGUA
rnacentral:rRNA from 1 species